rnacentral:rRNA from 1 species
AUGCAAUUUCAUACACCAAUUAGCCACAACCUGCUCCAGUGGAACAAUUACACACAUCAUGAUCUGGACUAUUUUCUGUGGGCAAUUGCAUGGUCGUUAGUGGACUCGUUUUGUGUUAGCUCAUGUUUUGAAGGAAGUGGAAUUGUCACUAGGAGGGAGCUGAGCUGGAAUUAUCAUUGUUGUUCUGAGCCUAUACAGUGGGAGAUUGCAUGGUUUUAUCCCUUGGAGUAUUUUGCUAGUGACAGAGAAUUUGUUCAGCCAUUAUUUACGAAUUUAGUGCAGUCUUGCAUUUUUGGAGAGGUUUCCUUCCCUGAGUUAAAACAAAUACAGUGGAGAACUGCUCGUGUGACUUCGAAAGAAUUGUUGUUUUUCCAUAUGGGUGAAGAGAUCCUUCCAGCCAUCUCCAUUGUCAUCAGUUAUGGACCUGUUGCUGUUUUGGCUUGGUACGUAUUGGAUACAGAAUUCGUGAGUGCAGAUGCAUAUUUUGCGGAACUCCGCAAGGUACAGUGCAUAGGUGUAUGCGUUUCUCCUGGUGAUGUUACAUCAACUUUACAAAUAUGGCAAGGUCAUAUAUAG